rnacentral:lncRNA from 1 species
CUCCUCUUACACAUCUACACUAAAACAAUGGCGGGUUUUUUAGGGUUAAUUGUAGAUGGACUCUAAGAGGGUUAACGUGUGUAUCCCUGCAACUUAAUUGAGAGUUUUCCUUUCUUGAUCUCUUCCAUAUCUCAAGUUUUUUCUUUCUAUUUUGUAAACGUGUGUGUGAGACUAGAAUAUAAGGCUUGGUUUUGUCUCUAGGCCUAGUAGAGUUAGUGAGGAUAAUAGAG